UACAGAGGUCUCAAGCGUUGUUCGGAUUCAUUGGGCGUAAAGGGUGCGCAGGCGGCCGUGUGUGUGAGGCGUGAAAGCCCGGGGCUUAACCCCGGAAUUGCACCUCAAACUACAUGGCUAGAGCAUUGGAGAGGGUAGCAGAAUUCAUGGUGUAGCAGUGAAAUGCGUAGAUAUCAUGAGGAAUACCAGAGGCGAAGGCGGCUACCUGGACAAUUGCUGACGCUCAGGCACGAAAGCGUGGGGAGCAAAAGGG
rnacentral:rRNA from 1 species